rnacentral:rRNA from 1 species
UACGGGGGGGGCAAGCGUUGUUCGGAAUUACUGGGCGUAAAGGGCUCGUAGGCGGCCAACUAAGUCAUACGUGAAAUCCCUCGGCUUAACCGGGGAACUGCGUCUGAUACUGGAUGGCUUGAGAUUGGGAGAGGGAUGCGGAAUUCCAGGUGUAGCGGUGAAAUGCGUAGAUAUCUGGAGGAACACCGGUGGCGAAGGCGGUGGUCUGGGCCUGAACUGACGCUGAGGAGCGAAAGCGUGGGUAGCAAACAGG